rnacentral:misc_RNA from 1 species
GUUUUAGAAACAUCAGUGGCCAACGAUCGUCAGGAUUGUUGAGCUGCAUUGGCGGGAUUUCGCCGUCUUCGUUUCUCUUUCUUCGCGGACGAACACGCGCCAGGGGCUAAAGCGCUGUGCGAUGCAUCGGCGCGAGCCGAUUACGCGCGCGCAUGUCCCUGAUCCUCAUCGGAGGAAGCGUUAGGGGCUUGUAGCUCAGUUGGUUAGAGCGCGCGCUUGAUAAGCGUGAGGUCGGAAGUUCAAGUCUUCCCAGGCCCACCAGCCUUCGCUGGCUUCGCCAGCUACGGCUAGGCAAGCCGGGUGGAGAGCGAAGGCUGCCACGUCGUAGCUCGAAGAGCGAAGACGGGCGCUAAGAACGCAGCAUUCGUCUUCUGGUACGGGGCCAUAGCUCAGCUGGGAGAGCGCGUGCUUUGCAAGCAUGAGGUCGUCGGUUCGAUCCCGUCUGGCUCCACCAGAUGAAAUCGAAGAUCGAGAGUGCCUCGAAUAUUUCGUCCGCGAAACAUCACUUCGCACGCGCUUGUCCGGAUGGACUGCGACGUGCGUGAUAUCUGACAUCGUAAAGAGGAGAUCGAUCCGAGUUUGGAUCAAGCGAAGCAAUUCGCCUGAUUCAAUCACUAUCUCCGGGAUCAUUUCGGCGCUCGCCCAUCGCAAGAUGAGUGAGUUGUAAAUGGUCCUCGUUAGCGAAGCUUGACCGCCUCGCUAUCGGUUCGAUCUUACGAAGCAAGCUGGUCUUUCUAAUCAGUGUCCGGCUGCGACAAUCGCAUUCAUCGAGGAUGCGUGCCUUCAAUGGCAGUUGCGCAGACAACAUUCUGCCGAGUGUGUGGACAUUGAUAAUGAGAGCAAUCAAGUGCCUUAAGGGUGUUCGGUGGAUGCCUUGGCGCUGAGAGGCGAUGAAGGACGUGCUACGCUGCGAUAAGCCGUGGGGAGCUGCGAAGAAGCUUUGAUCCACGGAUUC